UACGUAGGGUGCAAGCGUUGUCCGGAAUUAUUGGGCGUAAAGAGCUCGUAGGCGGCUUGUCGCGUCGGCUGUGAAAACUCGGGGCUCAACCCCGAGCCUGCAGUCGAUACGGGCAGGCUAGAGUCCGGCAGGGGGAGACUGGAAUUCCUGGUGUAGCGGUGAAAUGCGCAGAUAUCAGGAGGAACACCGGUGGCGAAGGCGGGUCUCUGGGCCGGAACUGACGCUAAGGAGCGAAAGCGUGGGGAGCGAACAGG
rnacentral:rRNA from 1 species